rnacentral:rRNA from 1 species
AACCCCGGCGAGGGGAGUGAAAAAGAACCUGAAACCGUGUACGUACAAGCAGUGGGAGCACAGAGCAAUCUGUGUGACUGCGUACCUUUUGUAUAAUGGGUCAGCGACUUAUAUUCUGUAGCAAGGUUAACCGAAUAGGGGAGCCGAAGGGAAACCGAGUCUUAACUGGGCGUUAAGUUGCAGGGUAUAGACCCGAAACCCGGUGAUCUAGCCAUGGGCAGGUUGAAGGUUGGGUAACACUAACUGGAGGACCGAACCGACUAAUGUUGAAAAAUUAGCGGAUGACUUGUGGCUGGGGGUGAAAGGCCAAUCAAACCGGGAGAUAGCUGGUUCUCCCCGAAAGCUAUUUAGGUAGCGCCUCGUGAAUUCAUCUCCGGGGGUAGAGCACUGUUUCGGCAAGGGGGUCAUCCCGACUUACCAACCCGAUGCAAACUGCGAAUACCGGAGAAUGUUAUCACGGGAGACACACGGCGGGUGCUAACGUCCGUCGUGAAGAGGGAAACAACCCAGACCGCCAGCUAAGGUCCCAAAGUCAUGGUUAAGUGGGAAACGAUGUGGGAAGGCCCAGACAGCCAGGAUGUUGGCUUAGAAGCAGCCAUCAUUUAAAGAAAGCGUAAUAGCUCACUGGUCGAGUCGGCCUGCGCGGAAGAUGUAACGGGGCUAAACCAUG